UCUAAUAAUUGAGAUUGAUGAUGAGGAUAGAGGAAAGCCUCAAUCACAAGAGUGAGGCUUUCCUCUAUCCUCAUCAUCAGUCUCAGUG